rnacentral:rRNA from 1 species
GACGAACGCUGGCGGCGUGCUUAACGCAUGCAAGUCGAACGGAAAGGCCCUGCUUUUGUGGGGUGCUCGAGUGGCGAACGGGUGAGUAACACGUGAGUAACCUGCCCUUGACUUUGGGAUAACUUCAGGAAACUGGGGCUAAUACCGGAUAGGAGCUCCUGCUGCAUGGUGGGGGUUGGAAAGUUUCGGCGGUUGGGGAUGGACUCGCGGCUUAUCAGCUUGUUGGUGGGGUAGUGGCUUACCAAGGCUUUGACGGGUAGCCGGCCUGAGAGGGUGACCGGCCACAUUGGGACUGAGAUACGGCCCAGACUCCUACGGGAGGCAGCAGUGGGGAAUAUUGCACAAUGGGCGGAAGCCUGAUGCAGCAACGCCGCGUGUGGGAUGACGGCCUUCGGGUUGUAAACCGCUUUCGCCUGUGACGAAGCGUGAGUGACGGUAAUGGGUAAAGAAGCACCGGCGAACUACGU